GGGGGCGACCUGGCUUCGACGUGGGUUGCAAAGCAGCGUUGUGCAUGCCGAGGUUCAGUUCCUCGUAAAACCGCUGAAAAACCAAUAAACGCCAACGACGAGCGUUUCGCUCUCGCCGCUUAAACCGGCGAGCUUUGCACCGGCUUGCUGAUGGGCCGGGCCGGGUAACCGGCGGCA
rnacentral:tmRNA from 1 species